rnacentral:rRNA from 1 species
UGGGGAAUUUUUGGACAAUGGGCGAAAGCCUGAUCCAGCAAUGCCGCGUGUGUGAAGAAAGCCUUCGGGUUGUAAAGCACUUUUGUCCGGAAAGAAAUCCUUGGCUCUAAUACAGUCGGGGGAUGACGGUACCGGAAGAAUAAGCACCGGCUAACUACGUGCCAGCAGCCGCGGUAAUACGUAGGGUGCAAGCGUUAAUCGGAAUUACUGGGCGUAAAGCGUGCGCAGGCGGUUUGCUAAGACCGAUGUGAAAUCCCCGGGCUCAACCUGGGAACUGCAUUGGUGACUGGCAGGCUAGAGUAUGGCAGGAGGGGGGUAGAAUUCCACGUGUAGCAGUGAAAUGCGUAGAGAUGUGGAGGAAUACCGAUGGCGAAGGCAGCCCCCUGGGGCCAAAUACUGACGCUCAUGCACGAAAAGCGUGGGGGAGCAAAACAGGAUUAGAUACCCUGGUAGUCCCACGCCCCUAAACGAUGUCAACUAGUUGUUGGGGAUUCAUUUCCUUAGUAACGUACU